rnacentral:rRNA from 1 species
UGUUAACCUGCGGAGGGAUCAUUA